rfam:Picea glauca, whole genome shotgun sequence.
AUAUACAUUCCUACAACAUAAUUUUAAUACACCAGAUCCCAUUAGAACUCUGUAGUUAAGUGCACUCAGGCUAGAGUAGUACUGAGAUGGUUGACCGCCCGUGAAGUCCUAGUAUUUUACAUG